AGCUCAGAGCCCAGCAAGGAGGGCUGGGAUUCACACUGAGCACGUGUGUCUCCCUCGGCUUGGGCUAUUUUCUAGGAUGGACUACCUGAAAUUCAUCACGUCCACAUCCAUAUGUGUGAAACUGCAUGAGGAGGACAUGGAAUGAUGCCACAUAUCUUGCUACAAAUAUGUAUAAACAGUUGCUAACCCACAGACUCCAAAAGCAAUAUCACCUGCGGAAGAGGAUUUCAUCCACAAGCCUGGGACACACAUCAACCUGAAUGGUAGAUAACUCUUGAAUUAAAUACUUCUGCUACAUUUUUGCUAUCUGGAUAGGCAAGAAUCUAAAUAUUAAUACCCCGGAGGAGACCAAUGUUUUCUACUUUUUUCUUUUUAUUAUUAAUUCUUUGAGAAUU